UACGUAGGGUGCGAGCGUUGUCCGGAAUUAUUGGGCGUAAAGGGCUCGUAGGCGGUUUGUCGCGUCGGGAGUGAAAUCUCUGGGCUUAACCGAGUGCUUGCUUUCGAUACGGGCAGACUAGAGGCAUUCAGGGGAGAACGGAAUUCCUGGUGUAGCGGUGAAAUGCGCAGAUAUCAGGAGGAACACCGGUGGCGAAGGCGGUUCUCUGGGAAUGUCCUGACGCUGAGGAGCGAAAGUGUGGGGAGCGAAC
rnacentral:rRNA from 1 species